GAUGAACGCUGGCGGCGUGCCUAAUACAUGCAAGUCGAGCGAACGGACGAGAAGCUUGCUUCUCUGAUGUUAGCGGCGGACGGGUGAGUAACACGUGGAUAACCUACCUAUAAGACUGGGAUAACUUCGGGAAACCGGAGCUAAUACCGGAUAAUAUUUUGAACCGCAUGGUUCAAAAGUGAAAGACGGUCUUGCUGUCACUUAUAGAUGGAUCCGCGCUGCAUUAGCUAGUUGGUAAGGUAACGGCUUACCAAGGCAACGAUGCAUAGCCGACCUGAGGGGGUGAUCGGCCACACUGGAACUGAGACACGGUCCAGACUCCUACGGGAGGCAGCAGUAGGGAAUCUUCCGCAACGGGCGAAAGCCUGACGGAGCAACGCCGCGUGAGUGAUGAAGGUCUUCGGAUCGUAAAACUCUGUUAUUAGGGAAGAACAUAUGUGUAAGUAACUGUGCACAUCUUGACGGUACCUAAUCAGAAAGCCACGGCUAACUACGUG
rnacentral:rRNA from 1 species